rnacentral:tRNA from 1 species
CACGCUGAUGGCCGGCAUGGCGCGCGGCACCUACUUUGUGCCGAUGGUCGGCGACGAGGUGCUGGUCGCGUUCAAUCAUGGCGACGUGC